UUUUACGGAGAGUUUGAUCCUGGCUCAGGACGAACGCUGGCGGCGUGCUUAACACAUGCAAGUCGAGCGGUAAGGC
rnacentral:rRNA from 1 species